rfam:Felis catus isolate Cinnamon breed Abyssinian chromosome B1, whole genome shotgun sequence.
GCCUGGGUGGCUCAGUCAGUUGAGCGUCUGACUUCGGCUCAGGUCAUGGUCUCACGGUUCGUGAGUUUGAGCCCCACGUCAGGCU